UUUCGCAAUGCCCGAAAGGGUGACGAAGCGACGCCGCGUGGGUGAGGAAGGCCCUCGGGUUGUAAAGCCCUGUCAGGAGUUAAGAAAUGUAGGUGCGCUAAUAUCGCAUUUAUUUGACGAAGGCUCCAAAGGAAGUCACGGCUAACUCUGUGCCAGCAGCCGCGGUAAUACAGAGGUGGCAAGCGUUGUUCGGAAUUAUUGGGCGUAAAGAGCACGUAGGUGGGUUCGUAAGUCAGAUGUGAAAGCCUUCUGUUCAACGGAAGAAUUGCAUCUGAAACUGCGAGUCUUGAGUAUAGGAGGGGAGAAUGGAACUUCUGGUGGAGCGGUGAAAUGCGUAGAUAUCAGAAGGAACGCCGGCGGCGAAAGCGAUUCUCUGGCCUAUUACUGACACUCAGUGUGCGAAAGCUAGGGGAGCAAACGGGAUUAGAUACCCCGGUAGUCCUAGCCGUAAACGAUGGGCACUAAGUAGAGGGGUUUUA
rnacentral:rRNA from 1 species